rnacentral:lncRNA from 1 species
CAUCCAAACGGCCUCUUUGCAGUGCGUCCUCUUGGCCGUCGCCAGACGUCAUAUUCAUACAACUGGGAGCACUUGACUUAACCUACUUGAUGAAACACCACCCCUUAUGAUGUCAAGUUUUAGACAAGAGAGUCAGAGACAGGGCAUUGGUAUGCCUUGUCAUUGCUCCAAUCUAGAGAGCCCAACCCUGGUUCCCCCAGUUACUUCAGAUGUAAAUCGCUCGCCUACUUACCCUAACACCGGACAGUCUGGUACCCCGCGCCAGUUCCAACACAGAGUACCAAACCUACGCUGGGCUGCGUGGCUCAUCUCAAGCAACGCUGGCAAACAAGAGGCUUUUCAACAGACGCUUCCAAUAUCCUUGCAAGUUCUAGGAGGAUGUGUACUGAAUAACAGUACGAGCCAGCAUGGAAAUGUUGGUCUAACUGGUGUAGUAAACGACAAAAUAAUCCAUUCUCUCCCGCUUUAGCGGAAGUCAUUAAAUUCCUUGCUCAUGAACACUCAAAAGGAAAUCUUACGCCUCCAUAUAAGCAUUAACAGAUCGGUGCUUUCGUCUAAUAUGGUAGACAAUUGAGGGGUAUGUUGUUGGCCAACACCCUUUGGUAAUAAGACUGCUUAAAGUGUUAAUUUAACGGUACCCAUGCCUAAGUAUUCCAGGAUAUGGAAAGUCUAUACAGUUCUUGAUUGUUUAAGUUCCUUAUCAGAUAACACCGAAAUCCCACUUUUAAGUUUGAGCCAAAAGCUUUUAACUCUAAUGGCCCUUGUGUCUGCCCAUUGCUCACAAACUCUGGCGUGUCUUGAUUUGAGGUAUUUUAAUUUCCUCGAAAGGUCUUGUGUCGUAACUGUCAUGGACAUCUUGAAAACUAAAAGUAAGGGUGGGGGACAUUGCAAAACAGUUUUUCCUAAAUUUGAAGAGUGCACGAAAUUGUGUGUUUCAACGACACUGAAAGGCUAUUUACACCCCCCGACCUUAGAGUUCAAAGCAAAGAGAAAAAUUGUUUCUGUCAAUAAGAAAACCGCAUGAGGCAGUAACGUCCUCAACCUUAGCUAGGUGGAUGAAAUGUGUGUUACGUGAAGCAGGUAUAGAUGCCACAAUUUAUUCGGCACACAGUGUUCGCAGUGCAUUAUCUUCUACAGCAUUCGCCCAAGGGGAAGCAGACUGGAGGAAUGUUUUUACCUUUGCUCAUUUUUUAAGAGCGGUGGAAGAACCAUCCUUUGUAAAGCACUUCUGAGUUGUAAUAAGUAACGCUGAAGAACCCACCGAUGUAACUGGCUUAUGCCACUACGGCAAUGGUUUUGACUCCAUUUAUCGUUUAUUAGGGUCUCCUUCAGCUUUAAACAUGUAAACCCUCUGAAAACUUGUACGAAUGUUAUGUAAUAGAAUUCCUAAAUUAUGUGAAUGUAUUGAAUAUGGGCCUAAUUGGAAUUCUAUGAAUAAUAAUGGUACAAGUCGAAGAGGGUUCCCACCCUUUUUCAGCAUGAAUCGUGUACAGGGAAAGGUUUCCCACCGACCGGCAUCUUUCUUUACCACUCAGAAAUGAUGCCUCAUGCCAUCCUGCCUCGGCUUAUAAACUUUGUCAGUGAUAAGUUCAUUAUUGUAACCCAUUCGCACAAAUGGCCUUGGCGGCAAGGGCCAUUGAAAAUGUACAGGGGUGCGUUUUUUAUCAUUUUGUCUCAGCUUGUCUGGCUUUGUUCAGUCUUUUCUUUAAAAAAUACCAUUAAAUCGUUUUUGCAAUUAGUUUCUAAUGUAAGCAGGAUUUUUUAGUGCUCUGGAAAAAGACUUUACAGAUUUUUCCUGUGCACAAGCUUUUUUCCAUUUCAAUAUUUCUGUAUCCAGACCCGGACAACACGAGGUUUCCUUUUCCCACUAUCUCACCGCAUAGUCAUUUUUCGUACGUCAAAAAUAUUUACUUUUCCCCGUCUCAGCCAUUAUUCUCAUCCCAACCUGGGUCCUAUUUGGACUUCUUUUUUCCUGAACCUACCAAAUAAUCAUAUUUUUCAUUUUGAGCUUCCAAUUUGAAAUUAAAAAAUAUAGUUCCUUCCCAUCUCAGUAUUUUAACUUUAUCCCAACCUGGACCACCUGUGACCGUUUAUUUUUUCCUAUGCCCCACUGCAUAAUCAUUAUUUUUUCCAGCUUCAAAUUUGCCAAAAAUAUUGUUCCUUCCCAUCUGAGCAUUUUAUCCUUUUUUAACUGGACCUUUUCGUAGUCUUAUCAUUAUUUGAUUCCUAGUUCACCCAUGAAACUAUUAUGCCCCCGUCUCUCGGCAAAUCUGGCCCAAUGCUCCACAUCUCACAGCAAACCCGGACCACGUGGUUUUUCCCCCCACACCGGAACAUGUAUUCAUGCUACCAAAAAUAGACACCUUUAACAUAUCUGUAAUUCUUUAUCGAAAUUUGGACUCUCACUUUCGCCCAACUCCAUGCCGACCACGUGAAAAUGUUUGUCCCAUACAGCAUACUGACUGCCAAAAUAUUAUCUUAUCCUUGAACAGUAAAACCUGACCAUGCAGGCUUUUUUAUAUUCAUCCCUCAGGUAACAUUUUAUGCAAGAAUGUAUAAAUGUAAGAAGUCAGUACAUCAAAGGGUCAGCACACGUGUUCGUAAGAGGGAGGAAUA